GUGUGUUAGUGGAACGGUCUGGAAAGUCCGGCGGUACAGGGUGAUAGCCCCGUACACUAAAAUGCACACGUUGUGAACUCGAAGAGUAGGGCGGGACACGUGGUAUCCUGUCUGAAUAUGGGGGGACCAUCCUCCAAGGCUAAAUACUCCUGACUGACCGAUAGUGAACCAGUACCGUGAGGGAAAGGCGAAAAGAACCCCGGCGAGGGGAGUGAAAAAGAACCUGAAACCGUGUACGUACAAGCAGUGGGAGCCUACUUGUUAGGUGACUGCGUACCUUUUGUAUAAUGGGUCAGCGACUUAUAUUCUGUAGCAAGGUUAACCGUAUAGGGGAGCCGCAGGGAAACCGAGUCUUAACUGGGCGUUAAGUUGCAGGGUAUAGACCCGAAACCCGGUGAUCUAGCCAUGGGCAGGUUGAAGGUUGGGUAACACUAACUGGAGGACCGAACCGACUAAUGUUGAAAAAUUAGCGGAUGACUUGUGGCUGGGGGUGAAAGGCCAAUCAAACCGGGAGAUAGCUGGUUCUCCCCGAAAGCU
rnacentral:rRNA from 1 species